GACGAACGCUGGCGGCGUGCCUAAUACAUGCAAGUCGAGCGGACGAAUCGAAAGCUUGCUUUUGAUUCGUUAGCGGCGGACGGGUGAGUAACACGUGGGCAACCUGCCCUGUAGACGGGGAUAACACCGAGAAAUCGGUGCUAAUACCGGAUAACACGAAAUGUCGCAUGACGGUUCGUUGAAAGACGGCGCAAGCUGUCGCUACAGGAUGGGCCCGCGGCGCAGUAGCUAGUUGGUGAGGUAACGGCUCACCAAGGCGACGAUGCGUAGCCGACCUGAGAGGGUGAUCGGCCACACUGGGACUGAGACACGGCCCAGACUCCUACGGGAGGCAGCAGUAGGGAAUCUUCCGCAAUGGACGAAAGUCUGACGGAGCAACGCCGCGUGAGCGAAGAAGGCCUUCGGGUCGUAAAGCUCUGUUGUUAGGGAAGAACAAGUAACGCAGUAACUGGCGUUACCGUGACGGUACCUAACGAGAAAGCCACGGCUAACUACGUGCCAGCCGCCGCGGUAAUAC
rnacentral:rRNA from 1 species